UACAAAUUCCCAAUUGAUUACACUUUCUAUUGUGACUGGUGCGAUCUGGUAGUUGUCUUUAAUUUUCUCCGUCAAAUGGGGAUAUUGAAGCUUGCGAGCUGUACCCUUCUUGUUUUCAAACUAAGAAAUAAAACAAAAUCGCGCUAACAGGUUGAAGCAGAUUCUUUCCUCCACAAAUCAUCCUCAGCAAACGUUUUUCGAAAAGUGGAGAUUUACGCACGGACUCGCCGACUCACUGAAGAUGAUGCGGGCAACAACAGCUGCUGCUUCUUCUUCUUCUUCUUCUUCUUCUUUGAAAGUUGGUUAUGGCGCAGCGGACUCGGACUCAGAUUCGGAGCUUCUAAAUCGACGGAAUCAAGAAACACCCAACAACACCAGCGUGUGAAAAUCACUAAUGUUGAGGAUGCUCUCAAUGUGUUCGACGAAAUGACUUCAAAGGCGUCCUCUGCCUUCCAUUAUCCCUUUCACUCAAGUGUUGGGUCAACUUGCCAAGGUGAAACAUUACUCAACAGUCAUCUCCUUGAAUAAUAAAAUGGUUAUGUCGGGAAUUCAUCCUGAUGGUUAUACUCUUAACAAUUAUCAUUAAUUGCUUCUGCCAUUUGCACCAAAUCGGGUCGGUUUAUCUGUCUUUGGAAAAUCCUUCAAAUUGAAUUUGGAACCAGAUGUCACAACCUACACCACCAUAAUCAAUGGCUUUCUUCAUCAAAAUAGAGAGGUCAAGGCAGUGGCACUUUUCAAUAAAAUGUUGGAGAGUGGUAAUUGCAAGCCAAAUGUUGUUACUUUCGGCACCUUAGUAAAGGCCCCUUGCAUGAAAGGUAACAACAUUGCAGCUAUCCAAUUGCUUAAGAAGAUGGAAGAAGGAGCUUGCAUGCCCAACGUAGUUAUCUAUAACACGAUUAUCGACAGUCUUUGCAAAGAUACUCUAGUUGUUGAUGCACUGCACAUCUUCUCAGAAAUGAUUAGUAAGGGUAUUUCCCCAACUGUCGUUACCUAUAACACAUUGAUUCACGGUGUCUGCAAAAUAGGGAAGUGGAAAGAAGCUACGAGAUUGUUGAAUGAAGUGGUGCGUAAACAUAUCUUUCCAAAUGUGCCCACAUUCAGUGUCUUGGCUGAUACAUUAUUCAAAGAGGGGAUGGUCCAAGAAGCAAGGAACAUGUUUGAAAUGAUGAUUCAAAGCAAUAUUGGACCUGAUACGGUUACUUGCAAUUUGCUUGUGGAUGGUUAUUGUUUGCGAGGAGAAACGGUUGAGGCGAAAAAAUCCUUGAUCUAAUGCUUAGCAAGGAUUGCAUGGUUGAUGCUUAUAGUUAUAUAACAUAUUGAUAAACGGCUAUUGUAAGCCCAAAAGGAUAGAUGAUGCCCGAAUGCUUUUUGUGGAAAUGCCUCAUAAGGGAGUUGUUCCAAAUACGGUUACUUGUAACACUCUUAUGGAUGGGUUUUGCAAGAUGGGGAGAACACAAGAUGGGCAAAACUUGUUCUCUCAAAUGCAAGCUAGUGACCAACUUGCAGAUGUUCAAUCUUAUAAUAUUUUGCUGGAUGGUUUUUGUGAAAACCACCAACUCUCUAUGGCAGUUGGAUUGUUGAAAGAGAUGGAGGGAAAGAAGUUGGAUUUUAAUAUUGUAACUUACAAUAUUCUUAUUGAAGGAUUGUGCAAAGCUGAAAAAGUUGAAUAUGCAUCAACGACACUGAGGCUUAUUCAAGAAAUGGUGGAGAGGGGUUUUUCUGCAGAUGCAUCAACUACGGAGUUGAUCUAAUUUAUUGUCUAAAGAUAGAGUAGAUACCACUUUGUUGGCAUUUAUAGAAAGACUUGAUUUGCAUCCUUUUAGUUUUGACAAGUUUCAGUGCUUCCCCUUGAUUGCUACAUUGGAGGAGGGAGUUGUUCCACUGUCGAGUCCAGUUCAGGUAGACAUUCGAUCAUGCAUUGCCUAGUGACGUAUGAUAUGUGUUAUUAACUGAAUCUAUCAAUUAAGAUUAUGAAAUCUGUUGGUGAAGCAAAGUAUAUGGACUAGUAUGAAAUUUGUAGACAUAUUUAUUCAAUCCAUGAGAUUGCUUC